AAGAAGCAUUUUUUUCUUUUUUUUAUGCUUGCCAAGACUUUUGAAGUCUCAUGCCUACGUUCCAACAAAGUGCAAUGGAUGAUCAAAACCUCGUAGUUCAUGGUAAAAAUGACAAAGGGAGUUUGUUUUGAUUCAUUUUUAUGGAAAAAGGCAUUUUGUCAUUUUAAGAAGAAUACUCAAUUAGUCACCCACAAGUAUGAGAACUUUGAAUCAAUAUGAGAAGAGCUCCAGCUUGGAUAAGGAUC
rnacentral:lncRNA from 1 species